rnacentral:rRNA from 1 species
GCUAAUACCGGAUAGUUUUUUUCCUCGCAUGAGGAAAAGUGGAAAGGUGGCUUUUAGCUACCACUUACAGAUGGACCCGCGGCGCAUUAGCUAGUUGGUGAGGUAACGGCUCACCAAGGCGACGAUGCGUAGCCGACCUGAGAGGGUGAUCGGCCACACUGGGACUGAGACACGGCCCAGACUCCUACGGGAGGCAGCAGUAGGGAAUCUUCCGCAAUGGACGAAAGUCUGACGGAGCAACGCCGCGUGAGUGAUGAAGGUUUUCGGAUCGUAAAGCUCUGUUGUUAG